CGGGCAGGAGGCGUCUCAGAAUCUUCCUCGACGAGUGGCUGCAUUCUUUAACUUCCAUUGCGCGAUAUCCGUCCUCAACAUAACAUAAACUUAGCAAGAUUUCAGAAUAAAGUUUCACAAUGUCGUUACGAGGCACAAUGUCGUUAUACAUCACACUCAUGUGAGGUCAUUGCCAUUGCUUCUCCUUGCAAGCAAAGUUUGUCAGAAAAUCCCAUCCGCUCACACACGCUACAGUAGCAGCAGUUCAGAGGGCAUCAGCCGGUAUCCAGUGCCAAACAGGAAGAAUCUGCCUUUUGAUAUUGUGGAAUUGAUGGAGGAGGUCGAACAGAAGGGAGGGUUCCUGCCCAAUGUCUUUAAAGUUCUUGCGCAUCGUCCUGCUGAGUUUCAGGCUUUCUUCGCUUGUUACAAUGCACUCAUGAACA